AGAGACAUUUUGGAGCAAAAGCUA
rnacentral:siRNA from 1 species